rnacentral:rRNA from 1 species
AGCAGCCGCGGUAAUUCCAGCUCCAAUAGCGUAUAUUAAAGUUGUUGCAGUUAAAAAGCUCGUAGUUGAAUUUCGGGGUUAGUAGGUUGGUCAUGCCUCUGGUAUGUACUGGUCUCACUGAUUCCUCCUUCCUGAUGAACCGUAAUGCCAUUAAUUUGGUGUUGCGGGGAAUUUGGACUGUUACUUUGAAAAAAUUAGAGUGUUUAAAGCAAGCUAACGCUUGAAUACAUUAGCAUGGAAUAAUGAAAUAGGACGUUCGAUCCUAUUUUGUUGGUUUCUAGGAUUGACGUAAUGAUUAAUAGGGAUAGUUGGGGGCAUUAGUAUUCAAUUGUCAGAGGUGAAAUUCUUGGGAUUUAUUGAAGACUAACUACUGCGAAAGCAUUUGCCAAGGGAUGUUUUCAUUAAUCAAGAACGAAAGUUAGGGGAUCGAAGACGAUCAGAUACCGUCGUAGUCUUAACCAUAAACUAUGCCGACUAGGGAUCGGAUGAUGUUAAUUUUUUAAUGACUC